GCUUGCUAAAUUUAGCUUCUGAUUUCUGAUACUUUAUGAUCUGUUUCUAGGCCUAACAAUAUUUUGAUUCUUCUCAGAUAUACAAAACACCUGAUGCCUCACGACCAUGUUAUAACAUUUUCACCACUAAGUGUCAAGGUAAUGAUUCCGGGGUCCUUUCUUCUAAUCUCAGCCCAAGUAUCAUCCCCCCUCUAUGGCUGGGGUCAGUACGGAUAUGUUCCAGAGUAUGGAGUUUGUGAUCUCCUUCUGUCUUCGGCUCAUUGCUGUUCCUACAUGGCCUACACGUGGAUCGUGUUGAUAUUUCCACCUGUCUUCGUCUUGGUAUUCUGUUUAGGAAAGUUGAUUCGUCGAUCAAAAGCGUAUUGUUUUCACGACGACGAUAUUUACAUGCGUGGUCUACUGCGUGAAAAAUCCAGGAUCUUAGAAGAAGACAAAGAAAUCAAAACAAUAGUUCUGUCAGGCUUACUUUCUGUUAUCCUCGUCCUUCCAUCGUGGAUACUUGCAAUUCUCGAGAGUUGCGAAAUCGUCAGUAAGAUUUAUUCCGGGCUUAUACUUGCAGGCUACCUACUAGAGGUUUUAAGCGGGCUUGUUUUGCCCGUCGUUUGUGUGCUGUAUCAUUCAAAGGUUCGAGAAACGUUUAUGCUUCUGUUGAAGAAUGAUAGAUGUUGCCCUGCUCUAAGAUCAAGCAGCAGUACAGAACAAACAGUGGCAACUAUCCUGUGAGAAAAAAAGCACCUUUUACUGUUUCCAAAUGUAAAUACUACACAACCAAAUACCAUUUGUAAAAUCUGUGUACAUUAAGGGAUACUAAAUGCAUAUAAUAUUUCGUGUUUAUAUAUCUCGGUGGUUUAUGAAAAUACUUGUUGUUUUAAUUUUGUUCAGAAAAUCCAAAAGAAUUAGCUUGCCUAACGUUUUUUAUCGUUAAACCUCACAAUUAGCCCUAAAUUGGCUAUUUCUUUUCUGUAUCUAUAAAAACUACAAAAAAUAACGACACACGUGUAUAAAUAUAUGAAAUAUAUAUUCAAAUGAUUUGGAUUAUUUCUUAAAAGUUGAAUGACGAAAAUAAUAUUUUAACUCUGGUGAUAUGCCACAUAAUUCUGCGUUGUGUAUCUUACAUAUUUUAGGUAUUAGUUUCAAAAUGUGCAAUGCAUAACUGUUAUUCAAGCUGUUAAAGGUGCAAUCCCAGUACUGUGACGUCAGUAACUCUGUUAGAUAGCCACAAAGAUGUUUUUUGUGACGGAAUUCUUGGAAUAGAUGAAGAUAUUUCAAAUAAAUAUACAUUUCAAUUAUAUGUAUCUUUUGGUGAAAAGAAAAACUGUAAAUUAUUAAAUAUUAGUGAAAGAUAGACGAACUUAAGAAUCAUCAAGCUUUAUUCUCAUUAUGAAUUGAGAAUUAUGGAGAGCUACCGAACAUCUGAACAAACAAAUAUUAAGGAAACUCUGAGGUGCCACUUUUAUUAGUCAACUGAUGAAAAAUACAUCCACCAAGGAGUCUCGCCCCCUCUUUACCCAAUUGUUACCGGUGGCACCGAUGGCAUUGGAAAGGCUUAUUGCAGAGAAUUUGCCAAACGUGGACUUAAUAUUAUCAUCAUCAGUCGCAGCCUAGAUAAGUUAAAAACUACUGCAGAGGAACUUG